GUGUCGUAUGAAAGGAGAGAAGGUUAACGCUCCCCUUGACAAA
ensembl:snRNA